rnacentral:tRNA from 1 species
GCCUUCGUGGUGUAAUGGUCAGCACACUGAGCUGGUAUUUCAGAGGUCCGUGGUUCGAUCCCCGGCGAAGGAA